GACGAACGCUGGCGGCGUGCCUAAUACAUGCAAGUUGAGCGCUGAAGGUUGGUACUUGUACCCACUGGAUGAGCAGCGAACGGGUGAGUAACGCGUGGGGAAUCUGCUUUUGAGUGGGGGACAACAUUUGGAAACGAAUGCUAAUACCGCAUAAAAACUUUAAACACAAGUUUUAAGUUUGAAAGAUGCAAUUGCAUCACUCAAAGAUGAUCCCGCGUUGUAUUAGCUAGUUGGUGAGGUAAAGGCUCACCAAGGCGGUGAUACAUAGCCGACCUGAGAGGGUGAACGGCCACAUUGGGACUGGGAAACGGCCCAAACUCCUACGGGAGGCAGCAGUAGGGAAUCUUCGGACAUGGACGAAAGUCUGACCGAGCAACGCCGCGUGAGUGAAGAAGGUUUUCGGAUCGUAAAACUCUGUUGGUAGAGAAGAACGUUGGUGAGAGUGGAAAGCUCAUCAAGUGACGGUAACUACCCAGAAAGGGACGGCUAACUACGUG
rnacentral:rRNA from 1 species